GUAACGGCGAGUGAAGCGGCAACAGCUCAAAUUUGAAAUCUGGCCGCAAGGUCCGAGUUGUAAUUUGCAGAGGAUGCUUUUGGCGAGGUGCCUUCCGAGUUCCCUGGAACGGGACGCCAUAGAGGGUGAGAGCCCCGUACGGUAGGACCACCGAGCCUUUGUAAAGCUCCUUCGACGAGUCGAGUAGUUUGGGAAUGCUGCUCUAAAUGGGAGGUGUACGUCUUCUAAAGCUAAAUACCGGCCAGAGACCGAUAGCGCACAAGUAGAGUGAUCGAAAGAUGAAAAGCACUUUGAAAAGAGGGUUAAAAAGUACGUGAAAUUGUUGAAAGGGAAGCAUUCAUGACCAGACUUGGGCUUGGUUGAACAUCCGGCGUUCUCGCCGGUGCACUCUGCCAGUCCAGGCCAGCAUCAGUUUGCCCCGGGGGACAAAGGCGGUGGGAAUGUGGCUCUCUCCGGGGAGUGUUAUAGCCCGCCGUGUAAUGCCCUGGGGCGGACUGAGGAACGCGCUUCGGCUCGGAUGCUGGCGUAAUGGUCAUCAAUGACCCGUCUUGAAACACGGACCAAGGAGUCGUCUUCGUAUGCGAGUGUUCGGGUGUCAAACCCCUACGCGAAAUGAAAGUGAACGUAGGUGAGAGCUUCGGCGCAUCACCGACCGAUCCUGAUGUUCUCGGACGGAUUUG
rnacentral:rRNA from 1 species